rnacentral:lncRNA from 1 species
ACAAGGUUAAAGUAUAUAUUGAAAAUUUAAUUUUAAUAAGCAUCGUUCGUCACGUGAUUUUAAUAUAUUAGGAUAAAGUGUGAUUAUUUUUAAUUCCUAACUCGUGUAGUAUUUAUUGUUUGUUAUUAUUUUUGGAUUUAUUAUUAUAAUUUAAAAAAUAAAUACAGUAAUUUAUUUAAAAUGAAUAUAAAAUUAACCACAAUAUUUUAUCAUCGCCACUUGCCUGACUAACGUUGGAUAAAGUCAGUCACCCAAAUAUUGUUAUGACUAUUCAUGAAAAUUUUGAUACAAAUCGUAUCGUUUGUAAACGGCAGGUGUUCGAUGGCAGCUGCCCUCCUUAUUUUCUAAAAAGAAGUACAAACAAAGAAUCUCUGCAUAAACUUAAUUGCACCGGACGUGACGGUUGCCUUAGGUAAUGAAAACGGAAACUGUUUUCCUGUCUCACGCCGAGUGGGCCAUAAAAUCUCUGAUAAUCAUAUACUCAUCAGUUUAUCUUCCCGACAAUAAUCUCAAAUAAGGAUAUUUUACAUUAAUCUCGUAUCCAGUCACCUAUAAAGUUUCCAUUAUAUCGUCUUGUAUCCUCGCCAGUGAUUAAUAAGAGCCUGCCAGGUUAAAAUGUGAAGUAGCACGCAAUUAAGUCACGUGUCAGUUUCUGUCGAACGAUUUCUAGGGAUGUAACGCUUGAAUCUUUUUUUCUGUAUCGCAUUUAGUGUUGCUCGUGUCUUUGACUUCUUUAUCGUCCAUAACGCAAUGAUAGCACGUUUCGUUACUUGUUAAGGAUAACGAUUUAUCGAAUAUGUUUAACUUUUAUAGCCAAACUAAACUGGUCGAACUAAAAAAAAAUUUGAGAUGCUUUAAAUUUUAUUUUCUAUAUGAGAUUUCCUUAUUAGGUUUCUUAUCAAUUACUUAUGAAAGAUGUUUUUUGUAACCGUAACACACCUCAGUUUCGAGGACAGAAAAUGUCACACACCUUUAGAUGAGGUGGAAAAGUCGGAAAAAGCUAUGUUUUUUAAACUAUUCGCCUUUUUAAGCGAUCGCUUUCUACCGCCUACUGACAGCCAGGUGCGAUCCUUAUUCCUACACGCAAUACAACGCUAUAGUCGUAUACGGUAUGUUCCUGACGUCAACGUAACUGACCGCUGCACGGAUUUGGUGACAAAUCUAUCACCGUGUUUCUCAGUCGUUUGGCACGAAUGUCAUUUGAUGUGGCACAGCUGCUGGCUUUGUGUACACACCCGUUCUUAAUUUUUCCCACGGUUUCCAUUCGUGAGUCUUUAAAAAUAUAACGUCACAAUUAUAUAAUAUCCGUGUCCAUUAACACUACAUCGUUCGAAACGCGAAGUUUAAUCUCUGCGGGAAAAUUAGGAGGUUAAACUAUUAUAUCUCCGAUCCCCCUUUCGACCGGAGUUCAGUUUCCUUCAAGGUAAAAGAUCCCGCUCUGAGAUAGAAAGUUCAGAUGUAAGCUGGCGUUUUAUUAACGUUCACUUUCUUUUGAUGUUCUGGGCUGGAAAAAGUUAAAUGUUCGCUUUCGUUAAGGCAGACUACGUGGGCUAAGACCAGAACGUUCACUUUCAAUCAUCGCCCUACGUUUAAAAAUUAUCAGAUUACAAAUAUGAUAAAAUAAUAUAAACAUUGGUUCAUACACUUUAAUGGAGAUAUUCUAAACAUUUAUAUUAAGAGUUCAUGCAAAAAAUUACAAAGUUAUUCACGACUAUUGUACGUCUCGACCGGUAAAAAAAAAAAUUGAAUAACGUUUGGCAUUGAAAUACACCAAAAGUCGCGAUGUUUACGGACUACGAUUCUUCAAUGGGGAUCACUGGACAAAAGCAAUGUCCGGUGUGACGGAUAAAGCCGAAGAACCGAUGUCGAAUGAGGGAGAAGUAGGGAGAAGAGAGAGAGAAAGGAAAAAAGAAAUACUAGACAGGUUAGUGCGGGCAUGACAACAACCCCCCCUACCCGUUAAGUGGUCUGCCUUGAAAAUUCUUCCCCCAUUCUUGUGUUCCAGACGCUGCAGCUGGUCUUUCACCCCCGUUCAUUCCCCCACCACCGCUUGUAUGCCAAUAUAAUUUCAUGGUCGUCUUUAGUCGAAGGGGGAAAAGGUCUUUCAACUCAGAGCGACGCUCGCAGGUUCUCACUAAAACCGGACGUCAUUAGCUUCUUGUGUUAGGGAUUGUCGUCCGCUCUUUAAAGUGCUGAUGAAUCGUAUAGGGCGUUAUAUCUCCGCUAUCGUGAUUUUUCUUGCAGAGAAAAUAAUUAUUGAUGAUCUAAUUUUUAAUCAGUUUGAUACCCACUGCAAAGCGUCAUUAUCUUUGUACCUGUGUGAUUUAGCCUUAUUUGAUUACGCAUUAAAUUUUUUUUCUUUCACGAUUGCUUGCACUUUUUUAACAUGCUUUUUGCUUGGAAUGAUUUUUUACUCCAGUU